UACGGAGGGUGCAAGCGUUAUCCGGAUUCACUGGGUUUAAAGGGUGCGUAGGCGGGUAAGUAAGUCCGUGGUGAAAUCUCUGAGCUUAACUCAGAAACUGCCGUGGAUACUAUUUGCCUUGAAUAUUGUGGAGGUGAGCGGAAUAUGUCAUGUAGCGGUGAAAUGCUUAGAUAUGACAUAGAACACCAAUUGCGAAGGCAGCUCGCUACACGAAUAUUGACUCUGAGGCACGAAAGCGUGGGGAUCAAACAGG
rnacentral:rRNA from 1 species